rnacentral:rRNA from 1 species
GACGAACGCUGGCGGCGUGCUUAACACAUGCAAGUCGAACGGAAAGGCCCUGCUUUUGUGAGGUGCUCGAGUGGCGAACGGGUGAGUAACACGUGAGUAACCUGCCCUUGACUUUGGGAUAACUUCAGGAAACUGGGGCUAAUACCGGAUAGGAGCUCCUGCUGCAUGGUGGGGGUUGGAAAGUUUCGGCGGUUGGGGAUGGACUCGCGGCUUAUCAGCUUGUUGGUGGGGUAGUGGCUUACCAAGGCUUUGACGGGUAGCCGGCCUGAGAGGGUGACCGGCCACAUUGGGACUGAGAUACGGCUCAGACUCCUACGGGAGGCAGCAGUGGGGAAUAUUGCACAAUGGGCGGAAGCCUGAUGCAGCAACGCCGCGUGCGGGAUGACGGCCUUCGGGUUGUAAACCGCUUUCGCCUGUGACGAAGCGUGAGUGACGGUAAUGGGUAAAGAAGCACCGGCUAACUACGUG